CAUGCAGCUGUGCUCUCCUCUUCUUCUUCUCCCUUUGCUUUUCUCUACUGCUCCCUCCAGCUUCAUAUAGUGGCCGGUAGCUCAACGACAUCGUUGCUGGGUUCGUUUCGUUCACUGUGUAGAGAAAGAGUUACAACAUUGCCUCCUUGGGUUGUGGUGGAGAGGAGGAGAAAGUUCAGAAGCAGAGGAGGGCCUCUCUCUAUAUGGGAAGACGGCCGGAUAGGUCGCUAGGGGCAUCGGCGUGCUGCGAGCGAGUGGUGGCCGUCAUCUUCAUCGUGUGUAUUGCCCUUCUAGUGGUGAUGGUGGCGAUGACGAGUGGUGCUGGCGUGAGCAUAGGGCCGGCUCGAGCCCGCGGCGGAGUGACGAUGAUGAGCUCCCCGGCACAGAAGUCAGGUGGCGGACAAGCCGGCGAGGACGCGUACCGAAGCAGCAAGAGGAGGAUUCCCAAGGGGCCUGACCCUAUCCACAACAGGUAAACUAAGAUCAGGCAUCACACCUAGAUGAUUGGGAAUAUCUCAGUGGGUCUCACAGAUCACUGCAUGAGAGGGACGUAAGCUCUAAAUUAAACAUAACUAAGUAGCCCAGUAACUAAUCGUCACCUUCUGCUUUGGUUGCCACUUCCAUGUCUGAUAGAACUGUGCUUUCAGGCGUGCCGGGAAGACGACGAUCGCGCCACGCCGGAGAGACUAGCACCGGCGAGAUGACGACCAUUCACCGGUGGUCUUAUCGGCUUCCUCCGGCAAACGUUGCUGCGACGGGGAAGCAGGAUGGGUUCCUUGGCUUGCUGGAAUGAGGCGGAGAGACCAGCUCUCCUACAAUGUGGAUUUUGGUAGUGGGGGUAAUGUACAAAAGUUGCGAUCUUCCCGCAAAAAAAUCUGUCAUUUUUUUGACCGAGAUUGAUCGACCGAUCUACCUUUCGCAUAUCCUUUCGAGAUUUCUUUUGAAUCCGUGGUGAUUUUGCCCAAAAAAAUGUUUCUAUUUGUGUGUGUAUUUAUCUGUCCGAGCAUGUACGCAGAUAAGCAGAUUGCUCUGCUGCGUCAGUACGUGAACUCACUGAUGAGCUCCCUAUAUGCCACUAGCACCUAUGUAAAUCAAGUUUUGUGGUUUGCAAUAACAACCAGAGAUUUGUCGAA